rnacentral:ncRNA from 1 species
AAACUCAGGAGAGUCUUUUCCCUGCCAGUAUUUGAAGGUCAGAUCAUUCAGGGGAGAGCGCCGAAGGUGUAAGCGGCAUCGGAAAAGAAGGAUGGUCCGGUCGGGCGGAACAGCUGAUUUUUCCAUGUGUAUGUUGCGAGUCUCUCAGGCAAAAGGAUGGAGGUAUAA